CCUCCCGAGUGCUGGGAUUAAAGGUG
rnacentral:piRNA from 2 species